CCUACGGGUGGCAGCAGUGGGGAAUAUUGCACAAUGGGGGAAACCCUGAUGCAGCAACGCCGCGUGAGUGAGGAAGUAUUUCGGUAUGUACAGCUCUAUCAGCAGGGAAUAGAAAAGAAGGUACCUGAAAAAGAAGCCCCGGCUAACUACGUGCCAGCAGCCGCGGUAAUACGUAGGGGGCAAGCGUUAUCCGGAUUUACUGGGUGUACAGGGAGCUUAGACGGAAAGGCAAGUCAGGAGUGAAAGCCCAAGGCUAAACCAUGGGACUGCUUUUGAAACUGUCAAACUAGAGUACGUGAGAGGGAAGAGGAAGUCCGAGUGUAGUGGUGAAAUGCGUAGAUAUUAGGAGGAACACCAGUGGCGAAGGCGUCUUACUGGACCGAAACUGACGUUGAGGCUCGAAAGCGUGGGGAGCAAACAGGAUUAGAUACCCGUAUAGUC
rnacentral:rRNA from 1 species